GAUGAAGAACGUAGCGAAAUGCGAUAAGUAAUAUGAAUUGCAGAAUUCAGUGAAUCAUCGAAUCUUUGAACGCACCUUGCGCCCGCCAGUAUUCUGGCGGGCAUGCCUGUUCGAGCGUCAUUUCAACCAUCAAGCCCCGGGCUUGUGUUGGGGAUCUGCGGCUGCCCGCAGGCCCUGAAAACCAGUGGCGGGCUCGCUGUCACUCCGAGCGUAGUAGCACUCGUAUCUCGCUCAGGGCGUGCCGCGGGCUCCGGCCGUUAAACCGCCUCUUUAGCACCCAAAGGUUGACCUCGGAUCAGGUAGGAGGACCCGCUGAACUUAAGCAUAUCAAUAAGCGGAGGA
rnacentral:misc_RNA from 1 species